AACAACUCUAGUUGUCCAGUGUUUGAUUUGUAAAACUGUUUCAGGUACAAGACAAACUGGAGGCAAGGGACAGGACAA
rfam:Medicago truncatula strain A17 chromosome 3, whole genome shotgun sequence.